UGUAUUCCUGCAGUCAUAUUUGCAGAGGUGCUUUUAUAGUUAUCAGAUAUCUAAUAGCACUGAGAGGAGCAGUGGUUUCUUCAUAACUGCCUGGAUCCCACCCACAGGUCGCCAAAGGAAGCUCUUUAAGACCAGUAUAAGAAAAUGUCUGGUGUACUAAAAGUGUUUGGAAAAGACGACAAAGACAAAGACAAAGACAAAGAUAAGCACAAAGAUAAAGACAAAAAGCACGGAGAGGCAAAGGGCAAAAAGGAGAAAAAAAAGAAAGAGAAAAAGGAAGGACAAAAGUGUGACAGUAGCUCCAGCUCUGACAGUGACUCUGAUGGAGGAAAGAAGAAAAAGGACAAGCACUAGAGUCUCCCAAUGCGCAACAUCCGCACAGGGAUCCUGCUGAUUGUUUCCCAUAGGUUACUGCUUAUGGGCAAAUAUUAAAUAACCUAUUAAAUAACCUCAUAUGUUUGUAUGUGAUUUUUAAAGAAAAUAUUAAAGAUAUUCCUAAUGAAA